GUCGCAAUAGCUCAGCUGGAUAGAGCAACGGUCUUCUAAACCGUAGGUCGAGGGUUCGAAUCUCUCUUGCGACAUCA
rnacentral:tRNA from 1 species